CCGUUCCAAGAUGCUGUCAAAAUUAAAUCAAUAUGGCUACUGGAAGGCAAACAUUGAAUAUUAUUCUAUCAGGUUCUUAUGGUUUUAGAUCAUUUUAGUUGUUGUACAAAGAUUAAUUUAACAUUUUCUCUGGAAGUAUUAAUUUAGAAAGAUAAUAUGCCUCAUUGGUGUUGUGUUUUUAAGUGUGAAAUGCAAAGUAAUCGUGAUAGUUAGCUUUUACCACUUACCAUCAGUGCUACAUUCUAAGCACAAAACUGAACCAAUUUAACUAAAUAAGUUAUAGUUAUCAUCUGAGAGACAACAACAAUGGUAAAAUGCAAUAAAAUAUAAAGAUUUUACUAGCAAAAUGGAAAUUCCCCUGUAAUCAUCUUAUAUCUGGUAAGUUACAACAUUUGAACAUUAACGAUUUUUGAAGAUGUUAACAGUCUAAUCUUGUAGGAAAACCAGCCGACUUAACUGAUAAUAACAAUCCAGAUUGGGUUCCUUCAAUAAAUAUGGGGUAUAUAAACACAAUGAAAUGAGUUCCCCAAAAUCUAAAAUGGGAAUUAAGGUACCAAAGGAGAAUUAAAAGAAAAGGGUACCUACAAGAAAAAAUUGCUUUUUUAUUCCUCUUGAAAUGAUUUAUAAGACACUGGACUGUCUUAUAUUCUACAAAUACUAGAAUCAGCUGAGAGAAGUGGUCUACAAAAACCCAGGAAGGAAACGGAAUAUGUGGCUACGAAAGGCAAAAGAAAGGUUUACAAAGCAAAUGUGACACAUUUUUUUGAAAUAUUUAGGAAUAUCAGUAAAUUGCAUUAAAAAAAUGUAUGAAAAGAUUUUAUUCAAUAAAAAUGUUUAUAUUUA